GAUGAACGCUGGCGGCGUGCCUAAUACAUGCAAGCCGAGCGAACGGAUGAGAAGCUUGCUUCUCUGAUGUUAGCGGCGGACGGGUGAGUAACACGUGGAUAACCUACCUAUAAGACUGGGAUAACUUCGGGAAACCGGAGCUAAUACCGGAUAAUAUUUUGAACCGCAUGGUUCAAAAGUGAAAGACGGUCUUGCUGUCACUUAUAGAUGGAUCCGCGCUGCAUUAGCUAGUUGGUAAGGUAACGGCUUACCAAGGCAACGAUGCAUAGCCGACCUGAGAGGGUGAUCGGCCACACUGGAACUGAGACACGGUCCAGACUCCUACGGGAGGCAGCAGUAGGGAAUCUUCCGCAAUGGGCGAAAGCCUGACGGAGCAACGCCGCGUGAGUGAUGAAGGUCUUCGGAUCGUAAAACUCUGUUAUUAGGGAAGAACAUAUGUGUAAGUAACUGUGCACAUCUUGACGGUACCUAAUCAGAAAGCCACGGCUAACUACGU
rnacentral:rRNA from 1 species